UACGUAGGGUGCGAGCGUUGUCCGGAAUUACUGGGCGUAAAGCGUGCGCAGGCGGUUUUGUAAGCCAGAUGUGAAAUCCCCGGGCUCAACCUGGGAAUGGCAUUUGGGACUGCAAGGCUGGAGUGUGGCAGAGGAGACUGGAAUUCCUGGUGUAGCGGUGAAAUGCGCAGAUAUCAGGAGGAACACCGGUGGCGAAGGCGGGUCUCUGGGCCGUAACUGACGCUGAGGAGCGAAAGCGUGGGGGGCGAACAGG
rnacentral:rRNA from 1 species